rnacentral:rRNA from 1 species
AUUGAACGCUGGCGGCAUGCCUUACACAUGCAAGUCGAACGGCAGCACGGGGCAACCUGGUGGCGAGUGGCGAACGGGUGAGUAAUGCAUCGGAACGUGCCAUUGAGUGGGGGAUAACGUAGCGAAAGUUGCGCUAAUACCGCAUAUUCUGUGAGCAGGAAAGCAGGGGGACCGCAAGGCCUUGCGCUCUUUGAGCGGCCGAUGUCAGAUUAGCUAGUUGGUGAGGUAACGGCUUACCAAGGCGACGAUCUGUAGCGGGUCUGAGAGGAUGAUCCGCCACACUGGAACUGAGACACGGUCCAGACUCCUACGGGAGGCAGCAGUGGGGAAUUUUGGACAAUGGGCGCAAGCCUGAUCCAGCCAUGCCGCGUGAGUGAAGAAGGCCUCGGGUUGUAAAGCUCUUUCGGCCGGGAAGAAAGUCGCAUGGGUUAAUACCCUGUGUGGAUGACGGUACCGGAAUAAGAAGCACCGGCUAACUACGUG